AAAUACACAUAAUUUACAAAAAUAUGCAAUUUUCAAAGGAGUGACUACACUGUUUUGACACUAUAGCAUGAUCAUUCAAUUCAAUUCAAGUUUAUUUGUAUAGCGCUUUUCAUGAUACAAAUGAUAAACAAAUGAUUGCAAAGCAGCUUUAUAGAAAACUAAGUUUCUACAACAUAUUUAGUAGUAGCUUGUCAAUGGUGACGAUGUCACAAGGUGACGAUCUUUAGGGGCGGAACCAAAAUUCGGGAAGUUUGGUUCCGCCCGGAAGUGUUUCCGCCCGGACCGGAAAAACAGAACACCGGAAUUUCCGGUAGCGCCGUAAGAAGGAAAAUCAGGGAAUUCGAUGCACCUGUGCCUAGUUAGGGACAGCGGUUGGUGAUUGGAGGAUACGCUGGACAAGGCAGUACUUAAGGCCAAGUUAUUUCACAGUCUGGGCGCUCUUUCUGGCUGGAAUUGUAUGAUUGUGAAGACAUCGCGAACCUUAAAGGUUGAGAAGUGAACGGAUUUUACGGCGAACUGAGACGACGUGAAAAAGGGGAUUGGAAGCGGCAUUGAUGUGAGUACUAAGAGCCAGUCGAAAGUGCCCUGUAUAUUGACCUGGCGUUGUGUAGAUCUCUCCAGGAGGAGGAGGGCGGCCCUACCCCUAAUAUAGCGUGGUGGGAGAGCCGAAGGAAUACUUAUUGAAGUAGUCACAACGACGACAUCACUAGCUAGGCCGCAUAUUCCAUCGCCAGAUCCGAACCAAGCGAAGUGAAGGAAGACGGGUGUCCUUUUCGUACACUGAGUGUGGUGGGUGAGUCUUCAUGCUGUGAAAACCUAUAAUUUUUGACGUGGUGCUGUAUAUUGCUGUGGGCUGCUGUGUAUUGCCGUGUGUCCUGUCAGAUAAACCCCCGCCUUCACGCACUUCGUCGCGGGAGGACAAGGAGACUGCUGGUCCUAGCCUAGUUCAGUACAGUAUAUGUUGUGCGCGUGCUUCAGAUCUCCGGAGAUAGCACAGUACGCUGUGUCCAGCCCAGAGGUGAAAGCCAUCCAAAGCAGAGUAACUGUGCUUUGCGUCCAAGUUGAUACCUGUGGAGAGGAAAGGAAAGAGAGAUUGAUACCUGUGGAGAGAAAAGGAGAGAGAGUGAAUAACACGAGGAGGAAUAGAGCGAACCCUGUACUUACAGUACGCUGUGUCCAGCCCAGAGGUGAGAGCCAUUCAAAGCAAACUAACUGUGCUAGUGUGCCCAAGUUGAUGCCUGUGGAGAAAGAGAAAGAGAGUGAGCACCCAGAGAACGAACUGUGUGAACCAGUACUUACUGUGAGCUGCAAUCAGCGAAGAGGAGGAAGAAGGAGGGCGCUACGGAUACCUAAGACUCAGGCCGGGGCCUGAGUCCCACGCCCCGGAUCCCCGUGGCCCCCUUGCUCCCUGACCUCUUCCCGGCCAUAGCCCAUCUGGAGGGCCGAGUCAGGGUUUAGUUUUAAUUGCCCUUUCCCUAUUCCCCAAGCUAUUUUUAAAUAUUUAAAUAAAGAUUGUUUUAUCACUUACUUGUUCUCGUGUUGUUUGGCCAUUGGGUUGGCUUUGGGGACCUCCUCGAGGUGGAAGUUGAGAAGGGGUGUGGCUUAGUCAAAGCAUAGCCAGCCCCUGGGUGUGACAACUAUGUCUAAUUGAUGUACAUAUGGCAGAAUUGUACCGUACAAUUCAGUUAAUGACGUAAUCAAACAGACGAUAAAUACUAUUAACAGCUAUGAUUAUAUGUUGCAAUCAAACUUGUAGCAAAUUUUGGUAGUUUAUGUUGUUUCAGGGUUGGCAUCAUCUGAG
ensembl:lncRNA